rnacentral:ncRNA from 17 species
UCCUUAUCAAGAGAGGUGGAGGGAAUGGGCCCGAUGAAACCCGGCAACCAGCAUUUUUUGCAUGGUGCCAAUUCCUGCAGGCUAUGCCUGGAAGAUGAGGG